rnacentral:rRNA from 1 species
GUACACAAAAAUGCACAUAUUGUGAGCUCGAUGAGUAGGGCGGGACACGUGGUAUCCUGUCUGAAUAUGGGGGGACCAUCCUCCAAGGCUAAAUACUCCUGACUGACCGAUAGUGAACCAGUACCGUGAGGGAAAGGCGAAAAGAACCCCGGCGAGGGGAGUGAAAAAGAACCUGAAACCGUGUACGUACAAGCAGUGGGAGCCUCUUUAUGGGGUGACUGCGUACCUUUUGUAUAAUGGGUCAGCGACUUAUAUUCUGUAGCAAGGUUAACCGAAUAGGGGAGCCGAAGGGAAACCGAGUCUUAACUGGGCGUUAAGUUGCAGGGUAUAGACCCGAAACCCGGUGAUCUAGCCAUGGGCAGGUUGAAGGUUGGGUAACACUAACUGGAGGACCGAACCGACUAAUGUUGAAAAAUUAGCGGAUGACUUGUGGCUGGGGGUGAAAGGCCAAUCAAACCGGGAGAUAGCUGGUUCUCCCCGAAAGCUAUUUAGGUAGCGCCUCGUGAAUUCAUCUCCGGGGGUAGAGCACUGUUUCGGCAAGGGGGUCAUCCCGACUUACCAACCCGAUGCAAACUGCGAAUACCGGAGAAUGUUAUCACGGGAGACACACGGCGGGUGCUAACGUCCGUCGUGAAGAGGGAAACAACCCAGACCGCCAGCUAAGGUCCCAAAGUCAUGGUUAAGUGGGAAACGAUGUGGGAAGGCCCAGACAGCCAGGAUGUUGGCUUAGAAGCAGCCAUCAUUUAAAGAAAGCGUAAUAGCUCACUGGUCGAGUCGGCCUGCGCGGAAGAUGUAACGGGGCUAAACCAUGCACCGAAGCUGCGGCAGCGACACUAUGUGUUGUUGGGUAGGGGAGCGUUCUGUAAGCCUGUGAAGGUGGCCUGUGAGGGUUGCUGGAGGUAUCAGAAGUGCGAAUGCUGACAUAAGUAACGAUAAAGCGGGUGAAAAGCCCG